GACGAACGCUGGCGGCGUGCCUAAUACAUGCAAGUAGAACGCACAGUUUAUACCGUGUCUUGCUCCACCAUAGACUGUGAGUUGCGAACGCGUGAGUAACGCGUAGGUAACCUGCCUGGUAGCGGGAGAUAACUAUUGGAAACGAUACCUAAUACCUCAUAAUAUUGAUUAUUGCAUGUUAAUUGAUUGAAAGAUGCUAUUGCACCACUACCAGAUGGACCCGCGUUGUAUUAGCUAGUAGGUGAGGUAACGGCCUACCUAGGCGACGAUACAUAGCCGACCUGAGAGGGUGAUAGGCCACACUGGGACGGAGACACGGCCCAGAAUCCUACGGGAGGCAGCAGUAGGGAAUCUUUGGCAAUGGACGAAAGUCUGACCGAGCCACGCCGCGUGAGUGAAGAAGGGUGUCAGAUCGUAAAGCUCAGUUGUACGGGAAGAACGGGAGUGAGAGUGGAAAGUUCACACUGUGACGGUAUCUUAGCAGAAAGGGACGGCUAAAUACGUG
rnacentral:rRNA from 1 species